rnacentral:rRNA from 1 species
UUCCGGUUGAUCCUGCCGGACCUGACUGCUAUCGGAUUGAUACUAAGCCAUGCGAGUCAUUGUAGCAAUACAAGGCAGACGGCUCAGUAACACGUAGUCAAUCUACCCUAUGGACGGGGAUAACCUCGGGAAACUGAGAAUAAUACCCGAUAGAUCAUUAUGCCUGGAACGGUUUAUGGUCCAAAUGAUUUAUUGCCGUAGGAUGGGACUGCGACCUAUCAGUUUGUUGGUGAGGUGAUAGCCCACCAAGACUAUUACAGGUACGGGCUCUGGGAGGAGUAGCCCGGAGAUGGGUACUGAGACACGGACCCAGGCCCUAUGGGGCGCAGCAGGCGAGAAAACUUUGCAAUGUGCGAAAGCACGACAAGGUUAAUCCGAGUGUUUCCUGCUAGAGGAAUCUUUGUCAGUCCUAGAAACACUGAUGAAUAAGGGGUGGGCAAGUUCUGGUGUCAGCCGCCGCGGUAAAACCAGCACCUCAAGUGGUCAGGAGGAUUAUUGGGCCUAAAGCAUCCGUAGCCGGCUGUGUUAGGUUUUCGGUUAAAUCCAUGCACUCAAUGUAUGGGCCGCCGGGAAUACUGCACAGCUAGGGAGUGGGUGAGGUAGACGGUACUCGGUAGGAAGUGGUAAAAUGCUUUGAUCUAUUGAUGACCACCUGUGGCGAAGGCGGUCUACCAGAACACGUUCGACGGUGAGGGAUGAAAGCUGGGGGAGCAAACCGGAUUAGAUACCCGGGUAGUCCCAGCUGUAAACUAUGCAAACUCAGUGAUGCACUGGCUUGUGGCCAGUGCAGUGCUGCAGGGAAGCCGUUAAGUUUGCCGCCUGGGAAGUACGUACGCAAGUAUGAAACUUAAAGGAAUUGGCGGGGGAGCACCACAAGGGGUGAAGCCUGCGGUUCAAUAGGAGUCAACGCCGGGAA